rnacentral:tRNA from 1 species
GUCCCUGUAGCGCACUGGAUAGCGCGUUGGACUUUUAAUCUAAAGGUCGUGAGUUCGAAUCCUACCUGGGAUG